UCUUUUGCAGUUAAUAAAGUGUGUCAAUUUCUCCAUGCACCAACCACAGCUCACUGGACAGCAGCCAAGAGAAUUCUAAGGUACAUAAAGAACACUUUGACCACAGGUCUUACUUUCAGGCGAUCAUCUUCCACACUUGUCAGUACUUUCUCAGAUGCUGACUGGGCUGGCUGCUUGGAUGAUAGAAGAUCAACAGGUGGUUUUGCUAUCUUCUAUGGUCCUAAUUUAAUUUCGUGGUGUGCCAAGAAACAAGCUACUGUCUCCAGGUCAAGUACAGAAGCAGAAUACAAGGCCCUAGCAAAUGCAACAGCAGAAGUUAUUUGGAUUCAGUCUAUGCUCAAAGAGCUUGGAGUGCCACAAGCACAACCUCCUUGCUUAUGGUGUGAUAAUCUUGGUGCCACCUACUUAUCUGCUAACCCUAUUUUUCAUGCCAGGACCAAACACAUUGAGAUAGAUUUUCAUUUUGUAAGAGAACGAGUUGCAAGCAAACAGCUAGAUGUCAGAUUCAUUCCCUCCAAAGAACAAAUUGCAGAUGGAUUCACCAAGGCCUUGCCUGUCAGAAGUUUUGAGGAAUUCAGACGUAAUCUCAACCUAGUCCAGUUAUGA
rnacentral:rRNA from 1 species